CUGGGUAAGCUGUUAAAGCUUCUGAACACACAAAACAGACAUUUGGCUCUAGUCCUACAUGUUGGGUAAAUACCACUUAUUGUUGUGUUUUCUACCCCUGAGUUUAUGGCUUCUCUGACUAUAGGUGAAGCAGAUUUAGUAGGUUUUUCAGAAUUGCUUUGCCAUUUUAGGUAUUAUCUAGACAACCUGAUAAUGAAAAGCAAAGUAUUAAGAUAACAGGCAUUUUUACCACCCACUUUCCAACAAUUGCUAACAUAAAGGAUUAAAAAAAGAUCAAUCCCAUCUCUGAUCUUGCAGAAUAAAUUUCAUCCCAAUUCACAUCUAUUGACCCACCAAGUAGUAUUCUUCAAGAUGUUUCUGAAUUGUACAUUGCGUUUUGGAUCAUGGGUAUGGAAGAAACAUCUUAGACUGCUUCUCUAUCUUGAAAAGAAAGUUAUAAAGAUUUGACUAUCUCCAUGGUGUUCCAGAGAAGGAGUAGACUCAUGCAGGAUUGUGUCCCUACUAAACUGAUCCCUAUCUCUUUCACAACCACCCAGCACCAAACCAGCUGUCAGUUUACCAGGGAUUGUUGUGUGCAAAGGCUAGAUGUACAACAAUGUGAAUAUGGUCGCUUUCAGCUCUACCUCCCACGACAUGGACGAUGGUCCACCACCAUUUCUGAAGCUGGGAGAGACGCUCUGAAGCAGUGUAUGAAGCCGGGUUUGCUCUGACAGAUGUUGGCUCUCCCACCAAGCGUGGGCCAUAGCCAUUAAAAGAUUCCACAACUUCCACUAGGUUCCCAUCUGUAAAACAGAGUAGUAAUAAAAGCUAUUCCAGAAAUUUGUGGCA
rnacentral:lncRNA from 1 species